UACGUAGGGUGCAAGCGUUGUCCGGAAUUAUUGGGCGUAAGAGCUCGUAGGCGGUUUGUCGCGUCUGCUGUGAAAACCCGAGGCUCAACCUCGGGCCUGCAGUGGGUACGGGCAGACUAGAGUGCGGUAGGGGAGAUUGGAAUUCCUGGUGUAGCGGUGGAAUGCGCAGAUAUCAGGAGGAACACCGGUGGCGAAGGCGGGUCUCUGGGCCGUAACUGACGCUGAGGAGCGAAAGCAUGGGGAGCGAACAGG
rnacentral:rRNA from 1 species